rnacentral:tRNA from 1 species
UCCCAAGAGGACUAGUGGUGAGGCCUCAGUGUUCUCACCGCCGCAGCCCAGGUUCGGUUCCUGGCCAGAGAA